rnacentral:rRNA from 1 species
AGUGAACGCUGGCGGUAGGCCUAACACAUGCAAGUCGAACGGCAGCACAGUAAGAGCUUGCUCUUACGGGUGGCGAGUGGCGGACGGGUGAGGAAUACAUCGGAAUCUACUUUUUCGUGGGGGAUAACGUAGGGAAACUUACACUAAUACCGCAUACGACCUACGGGUGAAAGCAGGGGAUCUUCGGACCUUGCGCGAUUGAAUGAGCCGAUGUCGGAUUAGCUAGUUGGCGGGGUAAAGGCCCACCAAGGCGACGAUCCGUAGCUGGCCUGAGAGGAUGAUCAGCCACACUGGAACUGAGACACGGUCCAGACUCCUACGGGAGGCAGCAGUGGGGAAUAUUGGACAAUGGGCGCAAGCCUGAUCCAGCCAUACCGCGUGGGUGAAGAAGGCCUUCGGGUUGUAAAGCCCUUUUGUUGGGAAAGAAAAGCAGCAGGUUAAUACCCCGCUGUUCUGACGGUACCCAAAGAAUAAGCACCGGCUAACUUCGUG